rnacentral:tRNA from 1 species
UGCAUCGGCCGGGAAUCGAAACCGUGUGCCCGCGUGGCAGGCGAGCAUUCUACCACUGAACCACCGAUGC